GUAGAUAAAAUAGAAUAAGGGUUCAGGGGGUUCUUCUCUAUGGUGAGAGAGAUGGAUCCUUCUCCCUUUACAAAGUAUCAAAUCACAAGUCUCCAACUCUAAGGUCUGGUUUCUUCUCCCAAAAACAGCGUAGAAUAAUAAGGAAAAACAGAAAAAGAAGAUAUAUCAAAACCACAUGCGGCUGGGAGAGAAAAUAGAGAGAUUAGGGCAAAUCCCGAAAUAGGUUGUUGUUUCCUUAAAAAUCUCUGCCGCUGGAACACUCCCUCGGAACAGUCACUCGGGUUGCUCCGCUAUCCGGAACAGUCAUCAAGACUGUUCUGCGUGAAAAUCACCAAAUUGCACUGUCUUCUGCCUCUUUUGUUCCAGCUGGUUCAUCUCUCAUCCAAUGCAACUCCAGACCUGUAAUGACUCGAAAAGGACUAGGAAGACUCGAUAAAGACUUGAAAACCAAUUUAAAAGCAUAUAUACAAGAUGUAUAAAACACCAUAUAUCAAUUCCCCCAGACUUAGAUCCUUGUUUGUCCUCAAACAAUAUCAAGUAUCAAGAACAGGGAGAAAGGUUUGAAAGUGUGGAAACUCUCCUAUUCUCAGCAACCAUACUUUAACCACGAAUCUCUGAACCAUACAAGCAGUAAAACUAGGACAACACACCCUUACCGGAACCCCACUGACUGCUGUUCAAAAAUCGGCUCCAUACUCUUCAUCUCAAACCUGAAAAAGCAACACUAUCGAGACAGAACUCCCUACAUUCAUUUAAGAGUAGCGUGAGCUUCUCAUCAUAGGCAUCAUUCAGGGUAGACGGUCUAGGUGUGGAACAGGCUAUUUAAUGGUGGAGUUAAGAGUGUUUAGGGGCUACCAUUUCAUUGAAGAGGAUGCAGGAUAUCACACAAAAUGGCAAGAGAGGAUAGAUCCAUUGAUGUCCACAGCCUCUACUCGUUUUUGCUCUAUCUGGUGCGACUGUUCUGAUGACGGAACAUGCAACUGAUUGUUCUGCUUUCUACUUUCCUCUACACACUCUUCAAUACUUGGUACCAACUUCUUGCUCGACCUUUCCAGUGGCUCCAUGUUUCUUUUCUUUCUUCCCCUUCUCCAUCACAUUAAUCUCGUUUUUUUUUUUUUUUUUUUUUUUUUUUUUUUUUUUUUUUGAAGACUGAUAUGGUGAUGUGACGAAGAAGGAGGUAAUACAUGAUCGUUCUGAGUGCCACUGGUGGUUCUGAUUUUGCAACCAUUCUGGUUCUCCACCCCUGCUCUUGCGCAGUUCAUUGGUUAUGGAGCAGUUGCUCCCUUAAUCUGCUUGUUCUCCUUUCUUACUGAAUUUCUGUAGCAGUAACGAGUAGCAGGCUGCGUUGAUCCUUUCCUCUCCGACCUUUUUGCACAUAUCUGCACAUAUGACACUGAAAAACAAAUGCAUGAAGGUGGAAUAAAGGCUAAGGUGCAGGGUGGGAACUAGCUAAAGAUGAGCUAGCUACUCAGGAUCAGCAAGAUGGAUAAAAAGGGUAAGAAGUCCUGAGUGUGUUCUCGUUUCCCUGAUCUAAUGCCCAUAACAAGAAGAAUUUCAGUCAAGAUUAGGUUCAAGUAAGGUGGAGUUAAGUCUACCCAGUGUAACCUGAUUGGCUGAGAACUUCUGGAGAAUCAAGUGAGAUAUGUCAGGGUGUUCCAGGUCCACAUGUGUGUCUUUCGCCACUGCUAAGGUCACUGAAUAAGAUAACUAAAGCACGAGGUGGUCAGUGAUCAACACAGAAUAAGGUCCUAAUUCCCACAAAGUUUUGACUGACUCAAUAAAAACUGACUCAAAUUGACCCAAAAGAAAAACAAAAGAAAGAAACGAGUUAGUAAACGACGAAAACCCUCUCCCAGACUUACUUCACAACGUCCCUGGUGUGAAAAUAAAUCAGAGAGAAGGAGAAAACAAAAUUUUUUUUUUUUUUUUUGGUCGAGAUACUUACCUGAGUGGAGCAGGCGCUCCAUGAAAAUUCUGGGUGUUCUAUCGUCAGAUGAUCGCCUGGAACAACCGCUCUUUUCAGGGGGUAGGUUGUUCCGUUUCUGCAACCCAGAAUUUUUGAAGUAUCUCGAAUUUUUUUUUGCUUUUUGACCUGAAACUCAAUAAACUAAAACGAAAAAUGAGUAAACAAAAACAAAACCAAGUUAUAUUUACACUUACCAGUGGGUUGCCUCCCACCAAGCGCUUGGUUUAAGUCUCUAGCUUGACUUGGUGACUGGGAUCAGUCGGGUUGAGCAGGAGGGCCUGUUCCAAAACAAGCUCCACAAUCAGACAUGUUCAGCUUCAAAACCCUGCUCAACAAUCCUUUCACAGCAGCUUCCCCUUUCUCCUUCAGCUCAUGUGUGAGAAUAGCUCUGACUUUAGAGAACGGUUUAAAGGUACCUUUGCACUUUACCUCAUACUCAAUGGAGUUCUCAUCACACUUGAGAGGUAUCAAAGUCAUUGUAGGAUCUCCUUUGACCCUUUUCUUCUGGACUUUCUGUUUCACCCUUGAAUUCCCUCUGAUUUUAGUAAGAUCAGUGCAUGGAUCUUCAUCAGAUAACAGCCUGCUCUCACCCUUAUCACCAUGCUCCUUCUCUGGAACAACCUUCAGCUUUUCUACAUCAAACAUUGAGAUGCGAGAGGCGUGUGAUGAGGAAGAUCUGGUGGGUACAGCCUUGUAGAAAACUUUCUUGUUGAUGUUGGAGAAGCAGACUCUCUUCUUGGGCAUAUCGAUGGUUGCUCCAACAGUAGCCAUGAAUGUCCUUCCAAAUAUUAAAGGCAUCUCAUGAUCCUUGUUCAUCUCAACAACUUGAAACUCAGCAGGAACAAUGCAUUCCCCUACUUGAACAUGAAGGCUGCGGAUGGUUCCAUAUGGGACUGCUCUGGAAGAGUUUGCAAAGGUCAGGGUCAACUGAGAACGCUCAACAUCAGCAAUGCCCAAAUCGUAUACAAUAGCCUUUGAGAUGAGAUUCACACAAGAACCAGAGUCACAAAGAGCGUCCUUGAAGGUUGUUCCUGCAAUGGAACAUGGGAAAACAAACUUUCCAGGAUCAUCAACCUUAGGCAAUAACUUCAGUGCUGGCGUAGACAGUGCUCUAGUAUAGAGGACCUUGAUCUCCUCUUGAGUCUCUCUACAGUGUUUAAAGAACUGGAGCAAUGGACGAAUCUGCAGAGCAUCUUCGAAUGCAAGUUCUUUAGGAAGCCUUCUCACCAUCUUGUUAAAACCUAUCAGCUGCUCUUCACUAAUGGGAUCCAUCAGAUGUCUAGGUGGAAUUGGAUAGGGAACCUUGGGAACAUAGACUCGAGAUGGUGGAGUCUCAGCAGGUUCGCUAGGAGCAGUCACUCCAGAGCUAGCAGACUGCUCUGCUCUCUCUUCUGCACCUGGAGCAGUCUCAGCGAACGGCUGCUCUAUUGCAUUACAGUGCUCAGUCCUAGGAUUUUUAUCAGUUCUUCCAGGGAGCGUCUCUUGUUGCCUCUUGACACUCUCAGCUGUUUGAGCAAGCUGAACAUCGAUCUUUCUCAUAUGGAUCGCAAGAUUGUCAUACUUGUUAUUCAGCUCAGUGAACAUGUUGCCCAUCCUGGUGUCAAUUUCUGUGGUUACCUGAUUCAACACCUUGGCCUGAACCUGCUGACCCUGCAACAGCUGUUGCAUCAUCAUACCCAGACCUUGCAGCUCAUCUGGUUGACUGUUCUCGUUAGCUGGAACAGCUUGCUGAUUGCUCUGCGGUUGUCGCUUGUUCUGGUUCUGAAUAUGUCCGGCCGUAGCUUGCUCCAUGCUGAAGACGUGCCCUUGGUUGUUUUUCAGUAGCUGAUCAACCUUGGCAGUCAGCUCAUCUAUUUUCUGGGUGUCAGAACUGUUCCCUUUCAUGGAGCAAUCACUCUCGUCUUUCUUAUUAGAUGAGCUAGCAGCCAUGUUCUCAAUCAGCUUAAACGCUCCAUCAGUGGUUUGAGUCAUGAAGUCUUGCGUGUAUACGCACACCAAAUAACCUAAUGUGCACACUACCACAAUCGAAUGGUAUGUCGAUGUAGCACUUUAGGAUCGAAUCCACAGAGACCAACUAUUACACUUUAUCUUAAUGGGAUCAAUAUCAAGCUAAAACAAUAUGAGGGUUUUAAAGUUGAUUUCGUAACAAGCAAGUAAAAAGAUUAAUUAAAGAUUUCAGAUGAUUAAAAUGCUAGCCUAGGGUGGUUUGGUCGGGUGUUAAGCAAGUGUGAGCCAAACAAUUAUUCAAGUUUAAUUAAGAGCAAGUCUAGAACUCGGAUCACUCAAGUAGAACAGCCCACUGUCGUGGUACUGCUCCCUAUGCUGAUCGAUCUUGAUACCUAAACUCUCGUUUGGAUCAAGAUGCGACAGUAAGCAAUAGAGGUCAAAUCCGAUAUGUUCACAAAACACCCUAACAUCUACUUUCGCUGGUUAGGGAUGCAAUGCUCAUUCAAGUUAUGUCUAGCAACCUAUAACACUUUUGAUGAAUAGAUUAAACCUAGAAUCAGACACUAAGUGGUUAACUUGAUGCAAGCCUUAAGAACAACAAUGAAUGAAGACAAUCGAUUUAUAACUUAUUUAUGUCAAGCUCACAGAUCUAACACCCUAACACCCUAGACUAAGCAAGCUGACUACUCAGCCAUGGAGCAAGAAAACACAGAGACAGAGACUGAAUAAAACAUGUGUAGAUAAAAUAGAAUAAGGGUUCAGGGGGUUCUUCUCUAUGGUGAGAGAGAUGGAUCCUUCUCCCUUUACAAAGUAUCAAAUCACAAGUCUCCAACUCUAAGGUCUGGUUUCUUCUCCCAAAAACAGCGUAGAAUAAUAAGGAAAAACAGAAAAAGAAGAUAUAUCAAAACCACAGGCGGCUGGGAGAGAAAAUAGAGAGAUUAGGGCAAAUCCCGAAAUAGGUUGUUGUUUCCUUAAAAAUCUCUGCCGCUGGAACACUCCCUCGGAACAGUCACUCGGGUUGCUCCGCUAUCCGGAACAGUCAUCAAGACUGUUCUGCGUGAAAAUCACCAAAUUGCACUGUCUUCUGCCUCUUUUGUUCCAGCUGGUUCAUCUCUCAUCCAAUGCAAC
rnacentral:lncRNA from 1 species